ACACUCCUGCGGGAGGCAGCAGUGGGGAAUUUUGGACAAUGGGCGAAAGCCUGAUCCAGCAAUGCCGCGUGUGUGAAGAAGGCCUUCGGGUUGUAAAGCACUUUUGUCCGGAAAGAAAUCCUUGGCUCUAAUACAGUCGGGGGAUGACGGUACCGGAAGAAUAAGCACCGGCUAACUACGUGCCAGCAGCCGCGGUAAUACGUAGGGUGCGAGCGUUAAUCGGAAUUACUGGGCGUAAAGCGUGCGCAGGCGGUUUGCUAAGACCGAUGUGAAAUCCCCGGGCUCAACCUGGGAACUGCAUUGGUGACUGGCAGGCUAGAGUAUGGCAGAGGGGGGUAGAAUUCCACGUGUAGCAGUGAAAUGCGUAGAGAUGUGGAGGAAUACCGAUGGCGAAGGCAGCCCCCUGGGCCAAUACUGACGCUCAUGCACGAAAGCGUGGGGAGCAAACAGGAUUAGAUACCCCUGUAGUCCCAUG
rnacentral:rRNA from 1 species